rnacentral:rRNA from 1 species
UGGUGGAGUGAUUUGUCUGCUUAAUUGCGUUAACGAACGAGACCUUAUCCUGCUAAAUAGUCAUGCCUAUCUUCGGAUAAGUAUCCGACUUCUUAGAGGGACUAUGUGUUUUUAAGCGCAUGGAAGUUUGAGGCAAAAACA